CAUGUGUGUUAUCACCAUGCAUGGACCUAAGCCUUUCUUUACCUGGAACUUGCUCUGUUCCAGAAUCGCCUUGAAGGCAUAGGUCUGUUUGCUUACUCUGUCUCCUGGGAUUAAAAGUAUGUACCAUCAUGACUGGGUCUAAGCUAUUCAUGCCCACUGUUCCUCAAGCCACUCCUGCUUUGCCAUCUCUCUAAGGGAGUUCUUUGAUUUUCAUUAACAACUCUGCCACCAUCCCAUUCAUAAUUCAAUCAAAACUCCUGGGAUGGCAGCUGUCAUAGUGGUGCUUAUGACCACUUGUUUCAAUGUUCUCACUGAACCUGGAGUGUACGAGAAAGUGCAGGCAUGACCUAGUGGCCAGCCUUCCUGGCACGCUAUACUUCUAACUAAGAAGCAUGGCACCCCAUGCUACUGAGUAUUCCCAGAAGCCUCAACUCUGAAUUCUGUAGUAAUGGAAAAUGACGCUACCUUGAGUACACUCAAUUACUG
rnacentral:lncRNA from 1 species